AGUGAACGCUGGCGGCCGGCCUAACACAUGCAAGUCGAACGGCAGCACAGUAAGAGCUUGCUCUUACGGGUGGCGAGUCGCGGACGGGUGAGGAAUACAUCGGAAUCUACUUUUUCGUGGGUGAUAACGUUGGGACACUUACUCUCAUACCUCAUACGACUUACGGGUGAAUGCAGGGGUUCUUCGGACCUCCCGCGAUUGAAUUAGCCGAUGUCGGAUUAGCUAGUUGGCGGGGUAAAGGCCCACCAAGGCGACAAUCCGUUGCUGGUCUGUGAGGAUGAUCAGCCACACUGGGACUGAGACACGGUCCAGACUCCUACGGGAGGCAGCAGUGGGGAAUAUUGGACCAUGGGCGCAAGCCUGAUCGAGCCAUACCGCGUGGGUGAAGAAGGUCUUCGGGUUGUAGAGCCCUUUUGUUGGGAAAGAAAAGCAGCAGAUUAAUACCCCGCUGAUCUGAGGGUACCCAAAGAAUAAGCACAGGCUAACUUCGUGC
rnacentral:rRNA from 1 species